rnacentral:lncRNA from 1 species
AUGUCAGGGCUAUAGGAGAUCACACAAAGUCAAACAACAGUGGAUUUCACAUCUGCUCACAUCUGGUCUGCUCCUUUCCCCAGUUCCUCCUGAUGAAGAUCUAAACUGCUGUUUACAAGCUGAAGGCAGCCAAGUGCUACAAGACUUCCCUCUGGAGCGUGUCGUGUGGACCUGAGCUGCAUUUCCAUCUCGUGAUCUUUCUGAUCCCGGUACUUUUGCAUUGUAAUGUAGGACCUUGGUGUAAACACUAUCUACUGGUGAUUAGAGGUCAUCCUGCAGUUCUCCCUUCACCAGAGCGUAAAUACAAGCAUGGGUGCUGCAGGUGUCCUGCCCAUGCGACAGGCUGGAUUUAAGCUGGCUAGGGGCAAUGCACAUCUUUGGACCAGGAGUAACAGGCAUGCUACAGAGGAAAAAAAGAAAAUGUUCUUUGCAGCAGAUCUAGGAAGCCAGGCAUGUC